GUCUGCUGCGUAUACAGCUCGCGUAGUGUAGGAAAGGAGCUGCAGAUAUGUGUAAUAACUCUAGUGGAAUAUUGUACUCUUCAGUCGUGACAUGAACGUAACAACGUACGGAGUCUUUACAUUAAAAAUUUUAAUUUCAGAAUAACAAAAACGACCACCAACAAGGUCGAUUGUAUUUCAUACACAACUGACAGAGGAAAUUCCCUCCCCCCUUAAAAAGAAAAAAAAACGUGUACAGUGGAAAACUAUAGACAAGGGCAAAAAUCACGAAUCAAUUUGACCUGAUGGGUUUAAAUAAAAACGAGCAAGAGUCUCCAUAACCAACAUGUUUGUUCACUAAAUGGAUAACCAACAACAAAAAAUUGAAAGAAUUUCGCCUGCUGUGGCAAGGCAAUCAAAAGUUGGCACGCCAACAGUGCUGCCAGAUUCACGAACGCUCUAUCAUCCCACAUAAUGACUCGCGACCUUGGUAUCUCUCUUCUCAUCAUUUCGUUAUUCGACAUUCUCGAUGCUGCGUUCGCUCUACUAUCACGGAAGAGGAAAAAAAGAAAUAGGAGAAUGAACUUUUGAAACUGCACAACUUAAACGACCGGAGCUAUGCCCAAACCCUGCGGCAUUCAAUCGGCGUGAUCGGUGGCAGACAAUCUCUUUAACGAAUGCCAUACUAAUUCGUUUGCACACGGACUAAAUCAUUCGCCUGAUAAGAGUCCAGAAUAUCAGCGAUUUAUUUGGCGGUAUGAAAAAUCGUAUCAUGUGACACACGUGACCUUUUAAACCCAUAAAUAAUUACGCGUGUGGUAGCUGCAUUACCUUAUGAAAGCCUGGAUUUCUGAAGCUUUCGGUUUCCUUCUUCUUGUUGUUUUUAUUUCCAAGAAGAGGAUAUGAUGAUAAACUGAAUGCGCACGUGCUGCUCGCUGCUGAUUGGCCGCCGACACGCACCGAAGAAAAAAAACAACAAGACACUUUAAUAUAUCCUUAAAGAAGAGAGAGGCACAAACACUGGCUUCCUCUCUAGACCGAGUCAGCUUGGCAACUGAAUAAAACAGCCCGCCCUCUUUAAGAAAAGGAAACAAGAAGGAAAGCGAGAAAGAGAGAAUUGCCCGUUUGCCCAAACGAGCUAUAAUCCUUUCGCAGCUAAAACUUUGCGAACGGACCACAAAAAAAAAAAAAACCUAUGCGUCGUGUUUUGCUAUUGUAUGUGCCAUUCUUUCCUAUAUACUAUUAUACAUCUUACUAUACAUUCUCGUGGCGCCGGUCAAACAAUACAUAAAAAUACUGGUU